rnacentral:lncRNA from 1 species
AUCCUGGGCAAAUUUCUUAAACUUUCUGUCAGCUAAAAUGGAAUAGUCAUGAGAAUAAAGACCCACUGAGUCAUUAGCAAUUAUCAUAAGGUUCCCCAGAUAAAAAGCAGUGCAAAGAACACUGAUACGUAUAGCAGGAUGGAAAUGAUUUUCUUCUCUUCCCCGCCCUUGGGAUUGGGGAAGAAGUCACAAACCGCCAGUCAUAGGCCCAAUCUCACCUUGAGACCUAUUUUAUUUGGUCCAUGUUGUGAGUUAUGUGUAGAACUCCUUUGGAUCCUGGUUCAAACAAACCAUUCAUUUUUUAAAAAUAUGUUUCAGUCAAGGAACUAAACAGUGACUGGAUAUUUGAGGAUGGCAAGUGGAUACUGUCAUUUUUUUACAUAUGAUAAUGGCAUUGUGACUAUUUUUAAGAGUUUUUCUCUUUUAGAGAUACAUACUGAAAUAUAUGUAGAUGAUAUGAUAGCUGGGAUAUGCCUCAGAAUAAACCAGUACGGGUGAAAGAGGUGGAGAGAAGUGGGUGGAGUAGAGACAAAACACAUCCACUGACAGCU